UUAAGUUCAGCGGGUAUUCCUACCUGAUCCGAGGUCAACCUUUCAGAAGUGGGGGGUUUAACGGCGUGGCCUUGCUCAGUCCCGGUGCGAGAUAUUGCUACUACGCAGAGGAGGCUAUCGCGAGACCGCCACUAGAUUUCGGGGACGGCGCGCCACGAGGACGGGCCGAGCCCCAACACCAAGCCCGGGGGCUUGAGGGU
rnacentral:misc_RNA from 1 species